CCCCCAAGCAAAAAGACCUUGGAUAGAAAGGGAACUAUGUACAACAAUGUUGAUGAAGAAUCCAUCUACAGCUAAGCGAUCUGAAGACAAUCAUUCAUUCAGUAUGGGAAUGAUUUUCCAAGCCUUUCAUCUCCAAAGGCAACACCAAGCAUAUCAUUUAGCCAAUAAACUUCUAUUUAUUUUGAGUUACA